GAUGAAGAACGCAGCGAAAUGCGAUAAGUAAUGUGAAUUGCAGAAUUCAGUGAAUCAUCGAAUCUUUGAACGCACCUUGCGCUCUUUGGUAUUCCGAAGAGCAUGCCUGUUUGAGUGUCAUGAAAAUAUCAACCUUGACUUGGGUUUUGUGCUCUAGUCUCGGCUUGGAAUUGGGUGCUUGCCGCUUUUACGAGCGGCUCACCUUAAAUGUAUUAGCUGGAUCUGUCUUUGAGACUUGGUUUGACUUGGCGUAAUAAGUACUUCGCUAAGGACAUUCUUCGGAGUGGCCUCGUUUCUAGGACGCUUGUCCGCUUUCCAAUACAAGUUCCACCUCGUGGACAUGACUUUUUAUUAUCUGGCCUCAAAUCAGGUAGGACUACCCGCUGAACUUAAGCAUAUCAAUAAGCGGAGGA
rnacentral:misc_RNA from 1 species